GUAUUUUGGAAUUCCAAUAUAAAAUAAAGAAACCAUUAUAUUAUUUACCGUUCAAUUUUAGUGUUUUUACUUCACGUAUUUGUUAUGUUAACUAGCUUGUAGGUUAUGUAUGGGUGCAUAUAUAUUUUUUUAAAAAUCAGCAUAUUAAAAUGGAAUGAUUAUACAUAAGUUACGGAUUUUUAUUCAAAAUUUACGGUGGAGAUAUUACGAUUUGGUAGUUAAGACAAAUUUUAAUGUCUCAAAAAAUUCAUAAGAAAACAUUUUUAAUAGUUAAAAUAAUGAAAAUCUAGAGCUUACAAGUCUGAACUCUUGUAUAAGUUAUAUUUUUAAAUCUAAUAAAAUAUAUAUAUUCUUUAUAGAGAAAUUAUAACACAUGGCUGGAUAAAUUUUGGAUGGAUGUUACAAAAACCAAUAAUCAUAUGAUGAUCGUGAAGAGUAAAUAAAUCACCAAUAAUCAACAGACGAUCCAAAAUUAAUGUCAAGACACCAAAUGAAAGCCUCUGACAAAAACUAUCAAGACAUGGUAAUAAGUCUUGAAAUACUUGUCUGUAAGGUCAUAAAUCGGUCAAAUUGCACCAAUUGAAAGAUGAAAUUUGCCGAGUCUAACUACCGAUUUAAGGCGCUUAUCAGUGUGCCACAUACCAGUCUGGAACCCGUCCCAGAACCUAGACAUUCGGUUAGAAUAUUAAUUGUUUUCCUAUAACCUCUGGAAUUGAAAACCUUGCCCAUCAGAUUCUCCUUGAUUCAAGUGGUCAAAUAAUGAACGGUCAACGCUGUUGAGUUUCUGGAACUGUAUAGUUUCCACUGUAAUUCUGAAUCAAACAUGAAAUCAUCAAUGAUUUGCUAAAUCUCUUUGACGGUGGAACAUUUUGAAAGUAAAAAAGUAGAAGCUUACAAAAUCAUUUAAAACAAGCUAUAAUGCGACCAUAAAUUUUCAAAACUAAAACCAAUAAAGUGUAAUUAUUAAAAUACUAGAAAUCACAUUUAUUUAUUGGCAAAAUCCAAAAAAGGUGAAUAGUGAUAAACAAAAGUUCAGCAAUUUUAAUCCUAAUCCGCAAAGGAGGCUGUAGAAAAAGUCUAGGGGGGGAGGCGCUGAAACGAGUAUAAAUAUUGAAAAUUUUGAUGGAAAAUACAUAUUUUGGGCUUCAAAUUGAAUUGAUUCACUUGAUGAAAACAUAACGUCGUUUUUAUUCGUCUGCAAGGUGGUCCUUCUAUUUUACAAUAUUUACAAAAAUCACUUUAAACUUUUCAAACUGAUCAUAAAUCUCCGUGAACUGUACAUAUUCAAACUUUUAAUUUCAUCAUAAUAACACAAUCAUUUUUACUAUGUGUACAUACAUUUGGGCAUUGCACAGUCUCAUUACAGUUUUUAACAUUUCACAAUACAAAAAAAUAAGUAACUGUAGUUCCACAUAGUUUCGUAAAAGUAUCUAAGAGUUAGGAGUUUCUUUUGUGCUUAUUAAUAUCACAAACUAUAACUUAAAACAUUGUUUUUUCAUAACAUUUGUGAAAACCUAUAUAAAUAGGAAGGCAUCAAACUGUUUAAACAUCACAACAAAAUAUCAAAACAAAUAGAUUUAAAAAUCGGUAAUUCUUAACUACUACUAAAUUUCCAAAAAGAUGAAAUCUGGUGUUUUAUUUGCAACUCUUCUAGUAAUUUUUGUGUCAUGUGCCUCAAAUAUUUUUGCAAAAUCCUCUUGUGAAGAUAAAACAGAUAUUUCAAGUCAAGCACCUAGCCCUCAACUUGAUAUCCAAAUAAAAAACCAAGUGCUUCAUGAUAAAAAAAUUAAACCUCAUGCUGCCAAUAAUCCAAUUGGAUUUUGUCAAGAAUGUGCACAUCAUUGUAUUAGAAAGAAGAGGUUUAUGCUAGAAUGCCGAAACUUUGCUUGUUACUGUGAUCAUAGCAGAUAUAAUCAGAGAAUAUGUAAAGGGUGGCAAAGAUUAUGGUGCAUUAAUUACUAAGAUGUAUUUUGGAAUUCCAAUAUAAAAUAAAGAAACCAUUAUAUUAUUUACUGUUCAAUUUUAGUGUUUUUACUUCACGUAUUUGUUACGUUAACUAGCUUGUAGGUUAUGUAUGGGUGCAUAUAUAUUUUUUUUUAAAAUCAGCAUAUUAAAAUGGAAUGAUUAUACAUAAGUUACGGAUUUUUAUUCAAAAUUUACGGUGGAGAUAUUACGAUUUGGUAGUUAAGACAAAUUUUAAUGUCUCAAAAAAUUCAUAAGAAAACAUUUUUAAUAGUUAAAAUAAUGAAAUCUAGAGCUUACAAGUCUGAACUCUUGUAUAAGUUAUAUUUUUAAAUCUAAUAAAAAAUAUAUAUUCUUUAUAGAGAAAUUAUAACACAUGGCUGGAUAAAUUUUGGAUGGAUGUUACAAAAAACAAUAAUCAUAUGAUGAUCGUGAAGAGUAAAUAAAUCACCAAUAAUCAACAGACGAUCCAAAAUUAAUGUCAAGACACCAAAUGAAAGCCUCUGACAAAAACUAUCAAGACAUGGUAAUAAGUCUUGAAAUACUUGUCUGUAAGGUCAUAAAUCGGUCAAAUUGCACCAAUUGAAAGAUGAAAUUUGCCGAGUCUAACUACCGAUUUAAGGCGUUUAUCAGUGUGCCACAUACCAGUCUGGAACCCGUCCCAGAACCUAGACAUUCGGUUAGAAUAUUAAUUGUUUUCCUAUAACCUCUGGAAUUGAAAACCUUGCCCAUCAGAUUCUCCUUGAUUCAAGUGGUCAAAUAAUGAACGGUCAACGCUGUUGAGUUUCUGGAACUGUAUAGUUUCCACUGUAAUUCUGAAUCAAACAUGAAAUCAUGAAUGAUUUGCCAAAUCUCUUUGACGGUGGAACAUUUUGAAAGUAAAAAAGUAGAAGCUUACAAAAUCAUUUAAAACAAGCUAUAAUGCGACCAUAAAUUUUCAAAACUAAAACCAAUAAA